rnacentral:rRNA from 1 species
GAGGGCAAGUCUGGUGCCAGCAGCCGCGGUAAUUCCAGCUCCAAUAGCGUAUAUUAAAGUUGUUGCAGUUAAAAAGCUCGUAGUUGGAUUUCUGUUAAUAAUUUAUAUAAAAUAUUUUGAUGAAUAUUUAUAUAAUAUUAACAUAAUUCAUAUUACUAUAUAUUUUAGUAUAUGAAACUUUACUUUGAGAAAAUUAGAGUGCUUAAAGCAGGCAUAUGCCUUGAAUACUCCAGCAUGGAAUAAUAUUAAAGAUUUUUAUCUUUCUUAUUGGUUCUAAGAUAAGAAUAAUGAUUAAUAGGGACAGUUGGGGGCAUUUGUAUUUAACAGUCAGAGGUGAAAUUCUUAGAUUUGUUAAAGACAAACUAAUGCGAAAGCAUUUGCCAAGGAUGUUUUCAUUAAUCAAGAACGAAAGUUAGGGGAUCGAAGACGAUCAGAUACCGUCGUAGUCUUAACCAUAAACUAUGCCAACUAGAGAUUGGAGGUUGUUCCUUACUCCUUC